rnacentral:rRNA from 1 species
AUUGAACGCUGGCGGCAGGCCUAACACAUGCCAGUCGAGCGAGCGGCGGACGGGUGAGUAAUGUAUGGGGACUGCCCGAUAGAGGGGGAUAACUACUGGAAACGGUGGCUAAUACCGCAUACUAUCGGAUAACCCAUAUGGGAUUAGCUAGUUGGUGGGGUAAAGUCUCACCUAUGCCACGAUCCCUGGCUGGUCUGAGAGGAUGAUCAGCAAAACGGGGACAGAGACAAGGCCCAGACUCCAAGGGAGGCAGCAGUGGGAAAUAUGGCACAAUGGUCGCAAGCCUGAAACAGCCAUGCCGCGUGUAUGAAGAAGGCCCUAGGGUUGUAAAGUACUUUCAGGCGGGAGGCGUUACCGACAGAAGAAGCACCGGCUAACUACGUGCAAGCAGCCGCGGUAAUUC